GCCGGGUUGGCGGAACAGGCAGACGCGGCGCUCUCAAAAAGCGCUGCCCGCGAGGGCGUGUGGGUUCGAGUCCCACACCCGGCACCU
rnacentral:tRNA from 1 species